CACGUAGGGUGCGAGCGUUGUCCGGAAUUAUUGGGCGUAAAGAGCUCGUAGGCGGUGUGUCGCGUCGGCCGUGAAAACCUGCAGCUUAACUGUGGGCUUGCGGUCGAUACGGGCAUCACUGGAGUUCGGCAGGGGGAGACUGGAAUUCCUGGUGUAGCGGUGAAAUGCGUAGAUAUGUGGAGGAACACCGAUGGCGAAGGCAGCCCCCUGGGUUAACACUGACGCUCAUGCACGAAAGCGUGGGGAGCGAACAGG
rnacentral:rRNA from 1 species